GCAGCCAGGCACCCUCCUACAGCCCUGGAACCAAGAAGGACUGAAAACCAUUUAGACUUCCUGCCAGACUCAUAUCUCUUCCUCUCUUUGAACUUCUGUUGUUUUUGUAUUUUUUUCAUUUAGAGACCAGUUUUCUCUAUUUCUCUCUCUGCGUGAUAAACAGAAGCUAACCAGCCCACAAUUCAGACACUUAGACCUCCUCCAGUCAAGAGACAAGUUCAGAUACUGUCCUGAGUCCCCUGAAGAAAGGAUGCUACUGGCUUAGCUUGGGUCAAGUGUUUGUUCGUGGUCUAAUAAUACGGUCACUGGGGGAGAAUCCCAUCCUCCUCUCGCCCCUGUUGUGACUGGGACAAGCAGUCACCCAAGAGAAGUCUCCAGCAGCCUGCAGAAGUUUCUCCAGGAUGGUCUGAACCUUCCUGACACCAUCUCUCCUGGCCUGACGGACGUCAGCUCGUCCUUCGGGGUCUACCGAAUCCAGCGCCAGCAGCUCUUUGGUCAAAUACUCUUCUAUCAUCAGGUUUGUUUUCAGGUUGGGGAACAGGUGAAGAUUCUCGAUGAGUCAUGGGCUGCUGAAAAGAGGCAAGGACACAAAGAUAUUUUUAAUACCCGAUUGAGAGUCCCAGGCGGUUGUCUGUGGCGCGCACUACUGACUAGAAAGAAAGCUGGGGAAUGGCUUUAACAACAGCAGAGAUUUUCAAAGUCAACCACAUACAGUUACAGAAUGAAAACAUUCUGAUCACGUACGGGACCGAACCACUCAUUUCCAUUUGUCACCCUGGACUGUGCGUCUGUUACCACUCACUGAACUUUUCUGUAGAUGGUAUUCUUAGGGCAACAAAAACAAAACCGAUAGUUUCCAAAAAUGAACACUUGCUCACCGAAACCUCGCGGACUGCCGAGCUAGCUUAGCUCCAAGCAAAGUCCUGCGUGACUCAGAAUCUUGGCGGGGCAGCCGCGGGGGAGUAACUGCCACAACCUCUCACUGCCGCCAGAGGGACCGUCUCUGUUCCGGGGAGGACAGUCCCACAUCCUGUUUCGGAAAAGGUAUAAUCUACUCUUUUUAAAAAUCUAUGACAGCCUCAUGGUUUCUGCCCAGACUGAUGUAUUUUUCUGAGAAUAAACAUGAUGCCCAAAAUAGUUAGCUCUGGGAGGAUGUCGCGGGGCUCCUCUGCGCCAACACUCGGCCAUGCGUCCCCGCAGCUGACUGCUGGCUACACGGGCUGAGAUGCUUUUUAAGGUAACUACAAGUGGUAGUUUCUAGAAUGAGCUGUACUUAAAACAAAUAUCUUGGUUCUCCCAGCAUUUCAGUGAACAUCUCACCCCCCCUUUCCUGAUUGAAGUGGAGUGGACAGACGACACUGUUAGUUUCAGGAGCACAACCUGGUGACCCGACAGUUCUACACGUCCCGCAGUGCUCACCUGAGUAAGCACAAUCACCGUCCGUUCUCUUGAUACUGACCGUAUUCCCUACACCUCACUUCAUCCCUGAGACUUUGUGACUGGAAGUCUGUACCUCCUAAUCCCCUUCAUAUUCUGCCCAUCCCCCAUGUGCUUCCCCACUGGCAACCAUCAGUUUAUCCUCUGGAUUUAAGGGUCUGCUUGGGGUGUUUUGGUUUACUCUUUUGUUUUGUUUUUUAGAUUCCACGUAUGAGUGAAAUCUACGGUAUUUCUCUUUUACCAACUAUUCACUUCACCUGAUACCCUCUAGGUCUAUCCAUGUUGUUACAAAUGGCAAGAGUUCAUUCU